rnacentral:misc_RNA from 1 species
GAACGCACAUUGCGCCCCUUGGUAUUCCGAGGGGCAUGCCCGUUCGAGCGUCAUUAUAACCCCUCAAGCCCAGCUUGGUGUUGGGGCCUGCUGUUGCCGGCAGCCCUUAAAAUCAGUGGCGGUGCCAUCUGGCUCUAAGCGUAGUAAUACUUCUCGCUAUAGACGUUAGGUGGUGUCCUGCCAGAACCCCCCAUAUUUUUAAUGAUUGACCUCGGAUCAGGUAGGGAUACCCGCUGAACUUAAG